rnacentral:rRNA from 1 species
AAACUAACAAGGAUUCCCCUAGUAACGGCGAGCGAAGCGGGAAGAGCUCAAAUUUGAAAGCUGGCGCCUUCGGCGUCCGCGUUGUAAUCUCGAGACGUGUUUUCCGUGCGGCGCUAUGGACAAGUCCCUUGGAACAGGGCAUCGUAGAGGGUGAAAAUCCCGUACUUGCCAUGGAUGUACCGUGCUUUGUGAUACACGCUCUAAGAGUCGAGUUGUUUGGGAUUGCAGCUCAAAAUGGGUGGUAGACUCCAUCUAAAGCUAAAUAUCGGGGAGAGACCGAUAGCGAACAAGUACCGUGAGGGAAAGAUGAAAAGCACUUUGGAAAGAGAGUUAAAAGUACGUGAAAUUGUCGAAAGGGAAGCGCUUGAAGUCAGCCAUGCUGCGCGGACUCAGCCCGGCUGAUGCCUGGUGUAUUUCCCAGCAGCAAGCCAGCAUGGAUUUGGGUCGCCGGAGAAGGGCACGAGGAAUGUGGCACUUCGUGUGUGUUAAGCCUCGUGCUGGAUACGGCGAGCUGGAUCCAGGAACGCAGUGUGCCUCUGGCGGGUCUUCGGACACCUUCACACUUAGGAUGCUGGCGUAAUGGCUUUAAGCGGC